UGGGGAAUCUUCCGCAAUGGACGAAAGUCUGACGGAGCAACGCCGCGUGAGUGAUGAAGGCCUUCGGGUUGUAAAGCUCUGUCUUGAGGGAAGAAUAGCUAUAGGGUGAAUAAUCCUAUAGCUUGACGGUACCUCAGGAGGAAGCCACGGCUAACUACGUGCCAGCAGCCGCGGUAAUACGUAGGUGGCGAGCGUUGUCCGGAAUUACUGGGCGUAAAGAGCGCGUAGGCGGCUAUUUAAGUCAGAUGUGAAAACUUGGGGCUCAACCGCAAGAUUGCAUUUGAAACUGAAUAGCUUGAGGGCAAGAGAGGAAAGCGGAAUUCCCAGUGUAGCAGUGAAAUGCGUAGAUAUUGGGAGGAACACCAGUGGCGAAGGCGGCUUUCUGGCUUGUACCUGACGCUGAGGCGCGAAAGCGUGGGGAGCGAACGGG
rnacentral:rRNA from 1 species